UGAGUUGGCGCUCAAACAUGGCGUCACCUCCGCUAUAAAUACCUCCCUCCUCCUCCGUCACAUCCUCUUUCCGUUGCUCUUCUCGCUCCGAGGAACUUCUCCACGAUGAGAGCCAAGUGGAGGAAGAAGCGUAUGCGCAGGCUGAAGCGUAAAAGGAGAAAGAUGAGGCAGAGGUCAAAGUAAGCCCUCAUCCCCCUCGCCAGCUGUGAUCCCGUCAGAGCCUCUUCAGACGACUGACGCAUGCGGCUGAAGUGGACCGUGGAUCCAUCCGUGGGGUAAAGGCCUCAAACCUGACUUCAGAUGACCGCGUCUCAUGGAGCCGACUGUCUGUCUGACGGAAGACGGCAACGACGCUGGACAGAUCUCAACAUCAGAACUGCAGCUGCUGUUCAUGGACCAUAAUACAUACGUUAACCAACAACUGUCAUGUGGUGUAUUGAACAAUAAAUGAACACUGUUAAAGUUU